CAGCAGCCGCGGUAAUACGGAGGGUGCAAGCGUUAAUCGGAAUUACUGGGCGUAAAGCGCACGCAGGCGGUCUGACAAGUCAGAUGUGAAAUCCCUGAGCUUAACUUAGGAAUUGCAUUCGAUACUGGGAAGCUAGAGUAUGGGAGAGGAUGGUAGAAUUCCAGGUGUAGCGGUGAAAUGCGUAGAGAUCUGGAGGAAUACCGAUGGCGAAGGCAGCCAUCUGGCCUAAUACUGACGCUGAGGUACGAAAGCAUGGGGAGCAAACAGGAUUAGAGACCCCAGUAGUCCCUGUCUCUUAUAC
rnacentral:rRNA from 1 species